CGUAUUACCCUACGGCGACAGCAGAAGGAACGCAAGGAUCGCACCACCAACUUUCUGAUAUGGGUCAUUCCUCGUAUCCACCACCACCAGGGCCCACACAGGAUACCUUUGAGGCGAACUUCGAAGAUUGGAGUCGGUUAUUUUCUACACCUAACCAGCAGGCCGAUCCUACCUUUCAGACACCUAUGGCCACCGGACGUUCAGGUAGAGACGUAGGGCCUCCAGAGCGGCACACCUACUCUACAGACCACGUCCACGCUCAGCGUAAAAGAGGUCGACAUGGCCGGGGUGGCCGGGGUGGUUAGGAGGUGCUUCUAGCUAUUUCCGUAUUUUUGUUAUGGACAUGUCGUCAUGUUAUACUUAUUUCGUUCUCAGGCAUCACCUAUUUCGUUCUCAUUUGCGUAUGUGUAUGAAUUGCUAACUUAUACUUUUCAUAUUCAUAUACUUUACUAAUGCUUUUUAUUU